UCAAUAUCCAUCGCCCCCGCGGGGAGGCC
rnacentral:sRNA from 1 species